rnacentral:rRNA from 1 species
UUUCGAAAGGAACGCUAAUACCGCAUACGUCCUACGGGAGAAAGCAGGGGACCUUCGGGCCUUGCGCUAUCAAAUGAGCCUAGGUCGGAUUAGCUAGUUGGUGAGGUAAUGGCUCACCAAGGCGACGAUCCGUAACUGGUCUGAAAGGAUGAUCAGUCACACUGGAACUGAGACACGGUCCAGACUCCUACGGGAGGCAGCAGUGGGGAAUAUUGGACAAUGGGCGAAAGCCUGAUCCAGCCAUGCCGCGUGUGUGAAGAAGGUCUUCGGAUUGUAAAGCACUUUAAGUUGGGAGGAAGGGCAUUAACCUAAUACGUUAGUGUUUUGACGUUACCGACAGAAUAAGCACCGGCUAACUCUGUGCCAGCAGCCGCGGUAAUACAGAGGGUGCAAGCGUUAAUCGGAAUUACUGGGCGUAAAGCGCGCGUAGGUGGUUCGUUAAGUUGGAUGUGAAAGCCCCGGGCUCAACCUGGGAACUGCAUUCAAAACUGACGAGCUAGAGUAUGGUAGAGGGUGGUGGAAUUUCCUGUGUAGCGGUGAAAUGCGUAUAUAUAGGAAGGAA